GGCGACGUGGCCGAGUGGUUAGGCAGAGGCCUGCAAAGCCUUGUACAGGGGUUCGAUUCCCCUCGUCGCCUCCA
rnacentral:tRNA from 2 species